ACCAAGUCUGUUUUUCAUCUUGCAUCCAACUCUAGUGCAUAUACAGUCAAUAAUUUUAGCAUAACCAAGAGGUUUUUUAUUUUAUGGUGGAGCUAUGGAAAAGACGAGGAGGAUCAUUUGGUGAAGGCCCCAUAGAGUAUGAUGAAGUUGAGUUGCCAAUAGCAUAAGAGAGAGUUUUGAGGACGGGGGCCAGAUGGGUGGUGGUAAAUGUUGAUCCCAAGCAUUCUUCUGUUUACUUCAGCAGCAUGUCUCCUACCCAUGUCAGUGAAUGUGACUCGUUCAAUGAAAGUACCUGUCAACUUCCUCAAUGUAACCACACCCUCUUGAACAUCGGAAAGAUGCACUCACGUCGAUUUACACAGCUGUUGAAGGUAAGUUACUCUCGCCGGCGCAAAAGUCUGGCCCACUCAAUUAUGCUGAUUGUUUGCGCUUGUGUCUGCCUGGAGUGCCUGAUACAUGGAAUGAGCUGCUCUACUCAUAUAUCAUCUCUCGCACUUGAGCUCAAAAGUUUUCUCUGUUAAUAUAAUUUCUUUCGUGAUGAAGGCAUAUAGCAACUAUCUAAACCUCAGCAGCUUAGUGUUGAUGUUGAAUUGUUGUAAUUGGAAUGAUGGGAAAGAAAAUGAAACAGCAUAACGUCCAUUGGCGUAGCAUUGAAUA